CCAUACAAUGGGCGUUAUUAGCACAAAUCAGUCCCAUAGAUGUGGGGCUAUCUCCUGCUAGAUUGUUCAAAAGGUUGUUAUCAUCCAUCCAGAUGGAGGAUCAGUAACUGGAGCGUGGAAGACUCCAGAAUCCACUCUGGCUGGAAUCCGGUGGAUACAGCAGUGUUACAGGUACAGUACGUGAUAUUAAGGGCAGGCGGUCAUCACUGGGGGAAGACAAGAAGCAGACGUACUUCCAAGAGGGAGCUGCAGUGAGGACACAGCCUGGUCACUGAGGUCAGAGGUCAGAAUCUGAAACAGCUCAGGUUCAUAUUUUAGGGGUUAUAAAAAAAUCCAAAUGUAUUUAUAAAGAAACCUUUAAAUAAUAUUUCAAAUAAUAGUCAUAAUUAUGAUUAUUAUAAGAAAUAUCAAACAUUUUAGUGGAUUUUCUGUUACACAUAUUUCUUAGCCCUGCGAUAAACUGGCAGCCUGUUGUGGUGGCAGAUUUCUUUUCUCAUGUAUUAAUCACAUAUUUAAUCAUAUCACAUUAGUUAUAGUAAUAUCACUUUCUCACUUUACUAUAGUAAGAGCACUCCUGUCACUAUUUUACAUGCAUGUGGAAAGUUAACACAGUGAGGCCGUUGUAAUGGGACAUGUUAAACAGAUAGUGAGACUCCUUCCGCUUAUCAGGGAUGUAAAUGCUUAGGUGAAGGCUAAGCAGAAAACAAGGUCAUAAUUCUCUCUGUGAGGGAGGAGGUAUAGCCCCCCGUGAGAGGGGGGUAGGACAUGUAAGAGUUUGUAGAAUGUUCUUUGUCUGUGUGUCUGUAUAUAAGAUGUAAGGGCGGUGGCCACAAUUCAGAGAUGGUCCUGGUGUUUCACUGGGAUGCUCUCUCCACAUUGCAAUGUGUUGAUUAAACCCACUUCAAAUCAA